rnacentral:rRNA from 1 species
GACGAACGCUGGCGGCGUGCUUAACACAUGCAAGUCGAACGGUAAGGCCCUUCGGGGUACACGAGUGGCGAACGGGUGAGUAACACGUGGGUGAUCUGCCCUGCACUUCGGGAUAAGCCUGGGAAACUGGGUCUAAUACCGGAUAGGACCCUGGGAUGCAUGUCCUGGGGUGGAAAGCUUUUGCGGUGUGGGAUGGGCCCGCGGCCUAUCAGCUUGUUGGUGGGGUGAUGGCCUACCAAGGCGACGACGGGUAGCCGGCCUGAGAGGGUGACCGGCCACACUGGGACUGAGAUACGGCCCAGACUCCUACGGGAGGCAGCAGUGGGGAAUAUUGUACAAUGGGCGCAAGCCUGAUGCAGCGACGCCGCGUGAGGGAUGACGGCCUUCGGGUUGUAAACCUCUUUCAGCACCGACGAAGCGCAAGUGACGGUACCUGCAGAAAAAGCACCGGCUAACUACGUGCCAGCCGCCGCCGUAA